AGCAAGUGUUAUGGUUUGGGUCUAGAUGCCCCCCUAUCCCCAAAGCCUCGUGCAGUCACAGGCAGGGCUUUUUCAGAGGUGGCCAGAUCUAGAGUGUGGGAUCCUGGGAUUAAGGGUGUGUGGUUACUAAAUCGGUUCACUGAUUGGCUUGACACUGCCCUAAUCCUGGUAGCCUAGACAGAGUAUAAAAGGAGCAGAAAGAAGCUGCAGAGGUCCCUUGCUUGCUUUAUUAUCUUCUGCCUGCCAUAAACUGUUUCUCCUCCACAAUACUUAUCUGUCAUGAAACCCUGUCUUGGAGCCAGCUCAUUAUGGACUUGAAACCUCUACAAACUGCUUUGAUCUCUCUGGCUCUGUCUGCUGGUCAGUGUGAAGGCCGAGGAGUAUUGGAGUCUGGUGCAAAAUUAAACUCCUGAGAAUCUGCACCCAUUUACACCUCAGCUUAGCAGGCAUGAGCAAAUAUGAGCAAACACCACAUGACAGGAAACACUUUGAUCUUCAGGAUUCAGAGAAAAAAGGCAGAAAGAAAAAUCAACCUAUGGCUUCUUUAAUUAAAGUCUGCAUUCCUGCUGGUAUAUUUUAGGAAGACAUUAG
rnacentral:lncRNA from 1 species